rnacentral:rRNA from 1 species
GAUGAACGCUGGCGGCGUGCCUAAUACAUGCAAGUCGAGCGAACAGACGAGGAGCUUGCUCCUCUGACGUUAGCGGCGGACGGGUGAGUAACACGUGGAUAACCUACCUAUAAGACUGGGAUAACUUCGGGAAACCGGAGCUAAUACCGGAUAACAUGUUGAACCGCAUGGUUUAACAGUGAAAGACGGUCUUGCUGUCACUUAUAGAUGGAUCCGCGCCGCAUUAGCUAGUUGGUAAGGUAACGGCUUACCAAGGCAACGAUGCGUAGCCGACCUGAGAGGGUGAUCGGCCACACUGGAACUGAGACACGGUCCAGACUCCUACGGGAGGCAGCAGUAGGGAAUCUUCCGCAAUGGGCGAAAGCCUGACGGAGCAACGCCGCGUGAGUGAAGAAGGUCUUCGGAUCGUAAAACUCUGUUAUUAGGGAAGAACAAAUGUGUAAGUAACUAUGCACGUCUUGACGGUACCUAAUCAGAAAGCCCCGGCUAACUACGUG